rnacentral:rRNA from 1 species
AUGAACCCCUCUUCGGCCCCGGGACCGGAUGGCCUGCCCGUGACGUUCUUCAAAACGUUCUGGCCAACCAUCAAGCCGGAGGUCAUGGCCCUGUUUGAGGAAUUUUAUUCGGGCACUAUGGAUCUUGGGCGCCUCAACUAUGGGAUCGUGACCCUCAUUCCCAAGGUCCCGGGCGCUUCCGACAUCCGCCAGUUCCGGCCUAUCACAGUGAUUAAUGUGAUAUUCCGGAUCCUGGCCAAAGGGUACGCCAAUAGGGUGACCCUGCUCGCUGACGCGAUUACCCAUCCG